ACACGCCAUGUUGGGAGACUUCCAAACAAGUCUAGAGAGUUGGCACUUAGGGAUGAAGAAAUCAUCUUCUGGUCAGUGGCCCGGACAAUGCUUUUGAUGAACAGAUGAUGAGUGACAAUGCAAGAUGAACUGUGACAAGGAUCCCGUGGGUUGUCAAAUGAGUUAAGAGGAAGGAAAAAUUCCUUUGGGUUGCCGAGGCCAAGACAAGCUUCAUUUCAAGCUUAGUCUUGAAGAUGAGUGGGAUUAAGAUAAAAAAUAAAGAAUGGAAAUGAGCAUGAACAAAAACGUGAUGGUGAAAGCAUAUUUGCUAUUUUCAAAAGCCAGGAGCAGUGCUAUCAGUGACAGGCAAACAGGCCUGGAAAAGAAGGUACCAAGACAAGGAUAUCUUCAAAAUACAGGCUUGAGCACUUAAUCUAAAGCCAGAAAAAAACAUUGGCUUCAACUGUCCAUCAAACUCUAUUAAAUAUAAGAAAGUUUCCUAAAUAUAUCAUUUUUCCCUGUUAGAAUUCAUUGUCUCUACUGAUUUCAAAAUCAGCAAAUAUUUAUUGUAAAAAAGAAAGAAAAAAUACUUGUUAAAAUCUAUUUCUAUAAAAACUACUGCUACUGGUUUCUCCCUAAAUGCUCGGCAGUGAGCAAAGAAAGAUACUGUUAACAUUUAGUAGCUGCUGCGGUCACCUUGGCAUAAUCGAGUGAACACAGACUUUAAUGGCAGUUUAAUUAGAUUUACCACGGGGAAGAUGUCACACAGGAGAUGCGAUGCUUCUGUAUUUAGAAACCUAUAUGAUGACAUGAAUAAAUAAAAAAUGAACAGAAAAUGAAACAUUGCAAA
rnacentral:lncRNA from 1 species